rnacentral:rRNA from 1 species
UCGAUGGGUCCUUGAGGACUUAGUGACGCAGCUAACGCAAUAAGUAGACCGCCUGGGGAGUACGGCCGCAAGGUUAAAACUCAAAUGAAUUGACGGGGGCCCGCACAAGCGGUGGAGCAUGUGGUUUAAUUCGAUGCAACGCGAAGAACCUUACCUGGUCUUGACAUAUCUAGAAUCCUGCAGAGAUGCGGGAGUGCCUUCGGGAAUUAGAAUACAGGUGCUGCAUGGCUGUCGUCAGCUCGUGUCGUGAGAUGUUGGGUUAAGUCCCGCAACGAGCGCAACCCUUGUCCUUAGUUACCAGCGGUUUGGCCGGGAACUCUAAGGAUACUGCCAGUGACAAACUGGAGGAAGGCGGGGACGACGUCAAGUCAUCAUGGCCCUUACGACCAGGGCUACACACGUGCUACAAUGGUAGGUACAGAGGGCAGCUUCACAGCGAUGUGAUGCGAAUCUCAAAAAGCCUAUCGUAGUCCAGAUUGGAGUCUGCAACUCGACUCCAUGAAGUAGGAAUCGCUAGUAAUCGCGGAUCAGAAUGCCGCGGUGAAUACGUUCCCGGGCCUUGUACACACCGCC